rnacentral:rRNA from 1 species
CCUACGGGGGACUGCAGUGAGGAAUAUUGGUCAAUGGGCGCGAGCCUGAACCAGCCAAGUAGCGUGAAGGAUGACUGCCCUACGGGUUGUAAACUUCUUUUAUAAAGGAAUAAAGUGAGGCACGUGUGCCGUUUUGUAUGUACUUUAUGAAGAAGGAUCGGCUAACUCCGUGCCAGCAGCCGAGGUAAUACGGAGGAUCCGAGCGUUAUCCGGAUGUAUUGGGUUUAAAGGGAGCGUAGAGGUGUUGUUAAGUCCGUUGUGAAAGUUUGCGGCUCACCCGUAAAAUGGAAAGUGAUACUGGCAGUCUUGCUUCCAGUUGAGGUAGGCGGACUUCGUUUUGUAGCGG